AUGAACGCUAGCGACAGGCUUAACACAUGCAAGUCGAGGGGCAGCGGGGGAUAAGCUUGCUUUUCCUGCCGGCGACCGGCGCACGGGUGAGUAACACGUAUGCAACCUGCCCCUGUCAGAGGGAUAAUCCGGAGAAAUCCGGUCUAAUAUCGCAUAAAGCGUUUGCGGGGCAUCCUGCGAGCGCCAAAGGAGUAAUCCGGACAGGGAUGGGCAUGCGGCGCAUUAGCUAGUUGGGGGGGUAACGGCCCACCAAGGCGACGAUGCGUAGGGGUUCUGAGAGGAAGGUCCCCCACAUUGGUACUGAGACACGGACCAAACUCCUACGGGAGGCAGCAGUGAGGAAUAUUGGUCAAUGGGCGGAAGCCUGAACCAGCCAAGUCGCGUGAGGGAAGACGGCCCUAAGGGUUGUAAACCUCUUUUGCCGGGGAGCAAAAGCGCCGUGCGCGGUGCUAUGAGAGUACCCGGAGAAAAAGCAUCGGCUAACUCCGUGCCAGCAGCCGCGGUAAUACGGAGGAUGCGAGCGUUAUCCGGAUUUAUUGGGUUUAAAGGGUGCGUAGGCGGACAGUUAAGUCAGCGGUCAAAACGGGCGGCUCAACCGCCUGCCGCCGUUGAAACUGGCAGUCUAGAGUGGGCGAGAAGUACGCGGAAUGCGCGGUGUAGCGGUGAAAUGCAUAGAUAUUGCGCAGAACUCCGAUUGCGAAGGCAGCGUACCGGCGCCCGACUGACGCUGAGGCACGAAAGCGUGGGGAUCGAACAGGAUUAGAUACCCUGGUAGUCCAUGCCGUAAACGAUGAUAACUCGCUGUUGGCCCUUUGGGGUCAGUGGCUUAGCGAAAGCGGUAAGUUAUCCACCUGGGGAGUACGCCGGCAACGGUGAAACUCAAAGGAAUUGACGGGGGCCCGCACAAGCGGUGGAGCAUGUGGUUUAAUUCGAUGAUACGCGAGGAACCUUACCCGGGCUCAAACGCACGACGGCGGCACGUGAAAGCGUGCUUACCUACGGGACGUUGUGCGAGGUGCUGCAUGGUUGUCGUCAGCUCGUGUCGUGAGAUGUUGGGUUAAGUCCCGCAACGAGCGCAACCCCUAUGUUUAGUUGCCAGCACAUGAUGGUGGGGACUCUAAACAGACUGCCUGCGCAAGCAGUGAGGAAGGCGGGGACGACGUCAGGUCAUCAUGGCCCUUACGCCUAGGGCUACACACGUGCUACAAUGGACGGUACAGAGGGUCGCUACUGGGCAACCAGAUGCCAAUCUCACAAAGCCGUUCUCAGUUCGGAUCGGAGUCUGCAACUCGACUCCGUGAAGCUGGAAUCACUAGUAAUCGCGUAUCAGCAAUGACGCGGUGAAUACGUUCCCGGGCCUUGUACACACCGCCCGUCACACCAUGAGAGUCGGAAACACCCGAAGUCGGUAGUCCAACCGCAAGGAGGGCGCCGCCGAGGGUGGGGCUGAUAAUUGGGGUG
rnacentral:rRNA from 1 species